rnacentral:lncRNA from 1 species
CUGGAUCCCCCGGGAGAAGCCCGCAAGCCACAAGCUUCAUUCCAACCUGCUUCUGAAUAUAUAAAAUAUUGGUCCGUGGUGGGGCCACCUUAUUCUCUGUCCUCACACCAGAAUCUGAAGAAAGAAUCUGAGCCCAAAGUCUGAGGACACGCUGCAGAGGAUCAUGAAAGCCCUCAUCAUCAUCGCUGUCAUCGCCAUGACACUUGGCUCCCUGGCCUCUCAGGACCAGGAACGAGAAAAGCGAAGUGUGAGUUCCUCUUACUCUUGCCAUAUUGCCUCUGCUAAAGCAUCUGAAAAUGCCAUAGAGAGAAGCAUGUCCAGCGGACUUUCUUUUCUGAAAAGUGUUGCUGUUGGGCAUUUAGUUGUGUCUGACUCUUCGUGACCCCGCCGACUGCAGCCCGCCAGGCCCUUCCACCCUGCACUCUCUCCUGAAGUCUGUCCCCACUCACACUCCUUGUUUCCGUGGCACCACCUCUCCAUCUCACACUCUGCCCUCCCCUUUCCCUUUUGCCUUCACUCUUUCCCAACCUCGGGGUCUUUUCCAAUGAGUCCCAUCUUCUCAUUAUGUGGCAGUUCUCUAAUGUAAGAAGCAAUCAGCAGGGAGUUUGGAAGAUAAUGAGAUAAUUAAUGUUAAAUUAAGCCGAGGAAGAUGAGCAAAAAAGAU